AUUGAACGCUGGCGGCAUGCCUUACACAUGCAAGUCGAACGGUAACAGGUCUUCGGAUGCUGACGAGUGGCGAACGGGUGAGUAAUACAUCGGAACGUGCCCGAUCGUGGGGGAUAACGAAGCGAAAGCUUUGCUAAUACCGCAUAAGAUCUACGGAUGAAAGCAGGGGACCGCAAGGCCUUGCGCGAACGGAGCGGCCGAUGGCAGAUUAGGUAGUUGGUGGGAUAAAGGCUUACCAAGCCGACGAUCUGUAGCUGGUCUGAGAGGACGACCAGCCACACUGGGACUGAGACACGGCCCAGACUCCUACGGGAGGCAGCAGUGGGGAAUUUUGGACAAUGGGCGAAAGCCUGAUCCAGCCAUGCCGCGUGCAGGAUGAAGGCCUUCGGGUUGUAAACUGCUUUUGUACGGAACGAAAAGACUCUGGUUAAUACCUGGGGUCCAUGACGGUACCGUAAGAAUAAGCACCGGCUAACUACGUG
rnacentral:rRNA from 1 species